rnacentral:rRNA from 1 species
CUACGGGUUGCAGCAGUGGGGAAUAUUGCACAAUGGGGGAAACCCUGAUGCAGCAGCGCCGCGUGGAGGAUGACGCAUUUCGGUGUGUAAACUCCUUUUAUAUAGGAAGAUAAUGACGGUACUAUAUGAAUAAGCACCGGCUAACUCCGUGCCAGCAGCCGCGGUAAUACGGAGGGUGCAAGCGUUACUCGGAAUCACUGGGCGUAAAGCGCGCGCAGGCGGCCCCUUAAGUUGGAUGUGAAAGCCUACGGCUUAACCGUAGAACUGCAUCCAAAACUGAGGGGCUAGAGUCUGGGAGGGGAAGAUGGAAUUAGUUGUGUAGGGGUAAAAUCCGUAGAGAUAACUAGGAAUACCAAAAGCGAAGGCGAUCUUCUGGAACAGUACUGACGCUGAGGCGCGAAAGCGUGGGGAGCAAACAGGAUUAGAUACCCUUGUAGUC